UACGUAGGGUGCGAGCGUUGUCCGGAAUUACUGGGCGUAAAGAGCUCGUAGGUGGUUUGUCGCGUUGUUCGUGAAAACUCACAACUCAAUUGUGGGCGUGCGGGCGAUACGGGCAGACUGGAGUACUGCAGGGGAGACUGGAAUUCCUGGUGUAGCGGUGGAAUGCGCAGAUAUCAGGAAGAACACCCGUGGCGAAGGCGGCUCUCUGGAACGCAACUGACGCUGAGACGCGAAAGUGUGGGGAGCAAACGGG
rnacentral:rRNA from 1 species